rnacentral:lncRNA from 1 species
GACUGUUGGACUGUGGUGUAUUUUUUUGAAAAAGCAAGUGUAUGCACACGCACCCCAGCAACUCAAAAUUCAUCUUUCUCAGCAGUGUAGCACCAUUUCAGAAGAGACUGAUUUUAGCACCUCAAGAGCCACAAAUACUAAGAAUGCCAAAGAGAGUAAAAAUCCCAGGAAGAACAGGUUUCAAAGACAAAAGAAUGUAACCACAUCUGCUGCCAAAAAGACCCAAAAAACAAAGCAUACAAGCUAUGGGAAAAGAAGAAAGAAAAAAGUAAAAAAAUCUUUAUAUGGGGAAAGAGAGAUGGCUUCUAAGAAACCUCUUCUCAGCCCCAUCCCUGAAAUUCCAGAGACUUUCUCUUCUGCUUCAUCUUCAAACUCACCAGACACACAGGCACUUUUUUCAGAUGAUGCCAGAUCCGGGAAGGCUCGCAGGGAUGUUGAGGAGAAGGCAGUGGCUGAAGGAGUGAGAGGGGCGACCGUCUGUGCAGCGUAUUCAAGCUCUGAGGACCUGGACCUCGUGGAGGCCAGUGGCUCUGGGAGCGAGGUGUUUCACGUGUCCAGUGGGGACCCACAGUCCAGUUCUGGCAUCGAUCAUGAGUUUUCAAACAGUGUGCCAGAUGCAAAGUGUGGUUUUGAUACAUCUGACUAUUUCCAACAAGGUAAAGAGACUGCGUGUGUAAAAGAGGCAAAAGAAAGUGGUUCUUUGAUAGAAAACAACAAAUUACAAGGAAAUCUCCUAAAUAAGGCAGAGCAGCUGAGUGGGCUAGAAUUUCUGGAACAACGGGACACUAGUGUACAUGAGAGUGCCCAAGGAACUCAGUGUCCCCAAAAAGAUUCUAUAAGUAGUCCACCAAGAAGAAGAAGUCGAAAAAGUAGUGCUGUCUGUUUUCCUCCUGUUGAAACAUUGGAAAUAACUGGAAACGAUCUUCCAGUUUCUUCUUUUAAUGUGGAAGAAGUCUUAUCUGUUCCUCAGCGAAAAACCAACUCCUUUGAGCCUUUUAGGAGAAGGAGCAGUAACAGUGGUGAAAGAAGAGUGAGGCGCAGCAUGAGAUUAAAUAAAGAUGCAGAAAUGGAAGGACUUGCAUGGAUUCAAGUACCCGAUGAGAUUCAGAACCCUCCUCUGAUAGCUUCUGCUUGCAAAAUCAGGAGAUCAAGCACAUCCAUCCUUACACAAUCUGAGAAUAUUCACCAUAGAAAACAAAAUCUCAUCCCGUUCUCAGCGCCGGGGAAGGAGAACCAUGACUCUGUUAAUCUUGCUGAUGGUCCUUGCAAAAGAUGGAGGAGGAGAAGCAUGUGUGUAUCCACACCUCAAGAAACAAGAACUUGGUCUCAAACCCGGAGGAGCAUAACAAAUUCUGUAUAUUGGAAGGACAGAAGUAAGAAAAAACACUUUGAAGAAGUAGAAAUACCUCUUGAAAAUAACUCUUUUAGUGAGGUUUCAGCUACCUCUGAUUUUCUAAAGUGA